UCUCCUGGUAUUUAUUCCACCGGUUAUAACAGUACCAUGGCACGGGGACAGCACAGGAGGGGAGGGACACUCAACCGAGCACGGCACGACUACAGCACGACGAGCGGGAGGACGGGGAGAUUUCCCCACAUGGCUUUGUCCUUCUCCUGGCAGGAACAAGGACAGGAUCCCACCCCAGGAGAGGGACGGCUCUGCUCCGGGCAAGGGCUGCUGCGGGCUCAGCUCAGCACCGGCGAGGGCUUUUGCUCCUCUCUGGUGUCAAUUCAGGCUUCAGCACCCCCCUUCCCACAGGGAUCGGAUGGCAGGUCCUUCCCGGCUGGCUCCUCCAGAGGGGCCCUCAAGGGCACGGGGCUGCUGUUCCUGGCAGGGAUGGGAGGCUGUUUCUCGGGGGAUGGGGAUGGGGAUGCAGCGAGGGGGGUGCUCCACAGCCUGCCUCGUCCUUGCGAGGCAAAUCCGAGCCUCCCGCUCGCUCCUGGGAGGCUGAGUGGAGGCAGAGCUGCAGCUCAGUGGGGCCACACCGGCAAGGUCAGUCACACCCCGAGGUCUGUCACAUCCCAAGGUCAAUCACACUGCAAGGUCAGUCACACCCCGAGGUCUGUCACACCCUAAGGUCUGUCACACUCUGAGGUCAGUCACACUGCAGGGUCAGUCACACUGCAAGGUCAAUCACACUGCAAGGUCAAUCACACUCUGAGGUCAGUCACACCCCAAGGUCUGUCACACUGAAAGGUCAAUCCCACUGCAAGGUCAGUCACACCCCGAGGUCAGUCACACUCUGAGGUCAGUCACACUGCAAGGUCAGUGACACUGCAAGGUUUGUCACACUGAAAGGUCAAUCACACCCCAAGGUCUGUCACACUGAAAGGUCAAUCACACUGCAAGGUCAAUCAUGCCCCAAGGUCAGUCACACUGCAAGGUCAGUCACACUCUGAGGUCAAUCACACUGCAGGGUCAGUGACACUGCAAGGUCUGUCACACUGAAAGGUCAGUGACACUGCGAGGUCAGUGACACUGCAAGGUCAGUGACACCCCAAGGUUUGUCACACUGAAAGGUCAAUCACACCCCAAGGUCUGUCACACUGAAAGGUCAAUCACACUGCAAGGUCAAUCGUGCCCCAAGGUCUGUCACACUGAAAGGUCAGUCACACCCCAAGGUCUGUCACACUGCAAGGUCAGUCACACCCCAAGGUUUGUCACACUGCAAGGUCAGUGACACUGCAAGGUCAGUGACACCACAAGGUCUGUCACACUGAAAGGUCUGUCACACUGAAAGGUCAAUCGUGCCCCAAGGUCAGUCACACUGCAGGGUCAGUCACACCCCGAGGUCUG